GCAUAUUUUAGAGCUUAAUCAUAAUAUUAAUAUAAAUAUUAUUACUUUUAAAUCCUAUUUCAAAAUAAAAUUUCAAUUAAAUAUUCAAAAAUAAAUUAAAUGUAACCCAUAUCUUCUUAAAUAUAAACUGCACCUUGAUUUGAAUUAAAUUUUAAUUUAAAAUAUUAAAUAUUAAUUCUAUUAAAAUACCUAAUAACAACGAUAUACAAAUUUAAAAUUUAAGUAAUAUUAAUCGUGGACUAUCAAUUAUAGUACAGGUUCCUCUAAAAAGACUAAAAUACCACCAAAUUUUUUAAUUUUCAAGAAAUUAACUAAUACUAAUUAAUCCAAUUAUUUACAUUUAUA
rnacentral:rRNA from 1 species